rnacentral:lncRNA from 1 species
GCGAGCUCACAUCGCAGCCUCGGCACCGUGCUGCUGCUGCUGCGGCGUGCGUGUGUGAUUUUGGGACGGUUUGGGGCUCACGUGAGAGCAGCGCAUGCUGUUUGACAAGGCACACUGGGUGACAUUCCUGCACAUGGGCUGAGCGAAGGGCGGGGCCAAUGCUGAACAAAUAAUGAGCCCGGCAUUCCACAAAUAACUGAGGGCCCUUGGUGCGACGCUGGAAAGGUGACAUGGCACCGGCGGAGACGUGACGAGGGGAGGGAACAGGUCGCACGGGCCGGAGCGGCCGCGCUUCCUCGGAGCCGUCCGGGCCGUGAGCGCUGGGAGUUUCUGGGUGCGAGUGAACACGCUGCCCGCUCCAUGCCUUGGGGGGGUGCACCGGGAACCCCAGGCUUGGACCGCGGCGGGAACCAGGGGUGGUCAAACGGGGGAGCGGAGCAGGCAGGGUGCGGCGGCCGGGGGACCAGGCGCCCGUACGUCGCAGAGAGGACCGCACAAGAUAACAACAGCCCUGAGCUGAGGCUCUAUCAGCAAUGGGGUCCUGUGCUCCUGUUGAGUGCGCUGUGGGCCCUCUGCCAGGAGGACGUCCCCCUCUACCUCCCCGUCAACAUGGACCGCGUACUGCAGAGGGUUCUGCUGGCGGGAGGCUCGUGCGCUGCGCUCGGGAUCUGCGUCCUCUGCGUCCCAGUCCUGCUCCGCUUUUCCAGGCAGCCGGUUUCAGCGGAUAACCUAACGGGACCCGGACCGGAACAGGAGUCGGCCCCCCUGCUUACUGAGGAGGUUGUACGGGGGGUGGCGGCCCCCCAGGAAGCAUGUGCACCGGUGGAAAUGAGUUCAGGUCUCCCUGUGUCCACCGGACAUGCCCUGGUGGACAGCCUGCUGGUUUUCCUGCACUCGGAGUCCUUGGAGGAGCUCAGCGCAGGACGCAUCCUGGAGCUUGCGGCUAAGCUGGAGAGAGCGGACGAAGCCCUCCGGAGAGGGACAGCUGUCGAUACGCUGCCCCGGUGGGGAAGUAAGGAUGGCCAGACUCUGGCUAGAAGACUCAGGGGUGUCGGCACCUAUCUGCAGCAGAGGGCGAGGCUUCUACGCACCCUGGGGCAGACCCGCGGGCAGUGCGAGGACAGCGAGCGGGACGUCGUGCUCGGGCUGGAGCUCUGUUGGGAAGAGCUGGAGAAGAUGCACCGCCGCAUCGCUGUUCCUGGUGGGACAGCGGGAGACCUGGAUGUCAGGGAGGUGCUGAAGGAAGUGCAGGGUCUGUCCGCGGAGCUGAGGCAGCGCAGAGAGCGGCUGCAGCUCUGUCAAUCCCACCUGGCGGACACUACACGCGUCCUGCAGGAACUGAGUCGCAACCGGAGGGAACUGGAACGGCAAGCUGGAAGCCCGACAGAUCCCCUCUGGACGGAGCGCCUCCUGCAGGCCAGCGCUGCGCAGAAUGAAGAGAUCCGCUCUAAGUUCCUGUCUCUGGAAAGCAUCGCAGACUGUCUGCGGACACACCUGGAGGGCCUCCGGGUUCAAGGCCGGGACUCUGCAUCCUCAACCUGCCCCCCAACUCCGGUUGAAACCCCCCCGGCAGAGCUGUCUCCGCCUCCCAGUCCCUCUCCGACGUCCCGAUCCUUGAUUCCGGCGCUGGACUGCCUGUGCGGCUCUGUGAGACGGAGAUGAAAUUUGCUUCCCGCAGUUCUUGACCUUCGCCGCAGUUUGAAGAUGCUCUGCCUCCUGGAGAGGAAAUGUGCCGCUGACUUUGUAUUUAACUAUUCGUACAGGUAAACGAGCGUAAUAAAUAUUUUGGUUUUUACA